rnacentral:rRNA from 1 species
GUUUGCUACCACCCUGAAUGCGCUUGAUCUCAUCUGAUCUCAGAAGCUAAACAGUCGGGCCUGGUUAGUACUCGGGUGGGAGGAAACCAUUAUUUCAAGUU